rnacentral:rRNA from 1 species
UACGUAGGGGGCAAGCGUUGUCCGGAAUUAUUGGGCGUAAAGCGCGCGCAGGCGGUUCUUUUAAGUCUGGUGUUUAAACCCGAGGCUCAACUUCGGGUCGCACUGGAAACUGGGGGACUUGAGUGCAGAAGAGGAGAGUGGAAUUCCACGUGUAGCGGUGAAAUGGCGUAGAUAUGUGGAGGAACACCAGUGGCGAAGGCGACUCUCUGGGCUGUAACUGACGCUGAGGCGCGAAAGCGUGGGGAGCAAACAGG